rnacentral:lncRNA from 1 species
GUUAUUAUCUUGAAUAUUAUUAUAAAUAGAGAUAAACUGUAAACAACAAUAAUGUACAGCAAAGUAAGACCUAAAAAUAAGUCAACAUGACCAAAAUGGUCAAAUGACCCCAUAAAGAGUUAUUGUCCUUUAUAGUCAAUUUUUAACAAUUUUCAUAAAAUUUGUAAAUUUUUACUAACAUUUUCCACUGAAACUACUGGGCC